rnacentral:rRNA from 1 species
UACGAAGGGUGCAAGCGUUAAUCGGAAUUACUAGGCGUAAAGCGCGCGUAGGUGGUUCAGUAAGUUGGAAGUGAAAUCCCCGGGCUCAACCUGGGAACUGCUUUCAAAACUGCUGAGCUAGAGUACGGUAGAGGGUGGUGGAAUUUCCUGUGUAGCGGUGAAAUGCGUAGAUAUAGGAAGGAACACCAGUGGCGAAGGCGACCACCUGGACUGAUACUGACACUGAGGUGCGAAAGCGUGGGGAGCAAACAGG